rnacentral:rRNA from 1 species
AAUCAACGCUGGCGGCGUGCCUAACACAUGCAAGUCGAACGCGAAAGCCCCGCAAGGGGUAAGUAGAGUGGCAAACGGGUGAGUAACACGUGGGUGACCUGCCUUCGAGUGGGGGAUAACGUCCCGAAAGGGACGCUAAUACCUCAUGACAUCCUGCUUUUGAAAAAGCGGAGAUCAAAGCUGGGGAUCGCAAGACCUAGCGCUUGAAGAGGGGCCCGCGCCUGAUUAGCUAGUUGGUGAGGUAACGGCUCACCAAGGCGACGAUCAGUAUCCGGCCUGAGAGGGGGGACGGACACACUGGGACUGGGACACGGCCCAGACUACUACGGGAGGGAGCAGUGGGGAAUUGUUCGCAAUGGGCGCAAGCCUGACGACGCAACGCCGCGUGGAGGACGAAGAUAUUCGGGUCGUAAACUCCGGUCGGGCGGGACGAACGCUUCGCGGAUGAAUAAUCCGCGGAAUUGACGGUACCGCUAAAGGAAGCCCCGGCUAACUCCGUG